rnacentral:rRNA from 1 species
CAGUCGCCGCGGGAAUACGAAGGGUGCAAGCGUUAAUCGGAAUUACUGGGCGUAAAGCGUGCGUAGGCGGCUUGGUAAGUUAGAGGUGAAAGCCUGGAGCUCAACUCCAGAAUUGCCUUUAAGACUGCCGAGCUAGCAGGUGAGAGAGGUAAGUGGAAUUCCGAGUGUAGAGGUGAAAUUCGUAGAUAUUCGGAAGAACACCAGUGGCGAAGGCGGCUUACUGGCUCAUACUGGACGCUGAGGUGCGAAAGCGUGGGGAGCAAACAGGAUUAGAUACCCGUGUAGUCCCUGUCUCUUAUAC